rnacentral:tRNA from 1 species
GCAUUGAUAGUGUAGGGGCAUCAUGAGUCGUUGCCACUCAUCAUCUGUUCAGGAUGGUUGUUCGACUCGACUCGACCGGGGUUCGAGUCCCCGUCAAUGCA